CACUUUAACACUGAGGUGUGACGACGAGGCACUACGGUGCUGAAGCAACAAAUGCCCUGCUUCCAGGAAAAGCCUCUAAGCAUCAGGUAACAUCAAAUCGUACCCCAAACCGACACAGGUGGUCAGGUAGAGAAUACCAAGGCGCUUGAGAGAACUCGGGUGAAGGAACUAGGCAAAAUGGUGCCGUAACUUCGGGAGAAGGCACGCUGACACGUAGGUGAAGUGAUUUACUCAUGGAGCUGAAGUCAGUCGAAGAUACCAGCUGGCUGCAACUGUUUAUUAAAAACACAGCACUGUGCAAACACGAAAGUGGACGUAUACGGUGUGACGCCUGCCCGGUGCCGGAAGGUUAAUUGAUGGGGUCAGCGCAAGCGAAGCUCCUGAUCGAAGCCCCGGUAAACGGCGGCCGUAACUAUAACGGUCCUAAGGUAGCGAAAUUCCUUGUCGGGUAAGUUCCGACCUGCACGAAUGGCGUAAUGAUGGCCAGGCUGUCUCCACCCGAGACUCAGUGAAAUUGAACUCGCUGUGAAGAUGCAGUGUACCCGCGGCAAGACGGAAAGACCCCGUGAACCUUUACUAUAGCUUGACACUGAACAUUGAGCCUUGAUGUGUAGGAUAGGUGGGAGGCUUUGAAGUGUGGACGCCAGUCUGCAUGGAGCCGACCUUGAAAUACCACCCUUUAAUGUUUGAUGUUCUAACGUGGACCCGUGAUCCGGGUUGCGGACAGUGUCUGGUGGGUAGUUUGACUGGGGCGGUCUCCUCCUAAAGAGUAACGGAGGAGCACGAAGGUUGGCUAAUCCUGGUCGGACAUCAGGAGGUUAGUGCAAUGGCAUAAGCCAGCUUGACUGCGAGCGUGACGGCGCGAGCAGGUGCGAAAGCAGGUCAUAGUGAUCCGGUGGUUCUGAAUGGAAGGGCCAUCGCUCAACGGAUAAAAGGUACUCCGGGGAUAACAGGCUGAUACCGCCCAAGAGUUCAUAUCGACGGCGGUGUUUGGCACCUCGAUGUCGGCUCAUCACAUCCUGGGGCUGAAGUAGGUCCCAAGGGUAUGGCUGUUCGCCAUUUAAAGUGGUACGCGAGCUGGGUUUAGAACGUCGUGAGACAGUUCGGUCCCUAUCUGCCGUGGGCGCUGGAGAACUGAGGGGGGCUGCUCCUAGUACGAGAGGACCGGAGUGGACGCAUCACUGGUGUUCGGGUUGUCAUGCCAAUGGCACUGCCCGGUAGCUAAAUGCGGAAGAGAUAAGUGCUGAAAGCAUCUAAGCACGAAACUUGCCCCGAGAUGAGUUCUCCCUGAGACUUAGAGUCUCCUGAAGGAACGUUGAAGACGACGACGUUGAUAGGCCGGGUGUGUAAGCGCAGCGAUGCGUUGAGCUAACCGGUACUAAUGAACCGUGAGGCUUAACCUU
rnacentral:rRNA from 1 species